rnacentral:other from 1 species
ACUUCCCUGCGGUGUGCGUAAAAAAGCUGACAUUUUUUGAGCCAACAUUUUUGAAACGGGGUUGAAGAAUCUGCCGUGGUGUGCAAGCCUUCGAAAUGAAGGAAGCCUGAAGCGGUAUACGGAAACCCCACCUAUCCUGGAUAGGUUCAAAGAAUGGUUUUUUUACGGCACCGACGGGGAGGUU